rnacentral:rRNA from 1 species
CGAUCCUCCCACCCUUUGUGUACCUACCUCUGUUGCUUUGGCGGGCCGCGGUCCUCCGCGGCCGCCCCCCUCCCCGGGGGGGUGGCCAGCGCCCGCCAGAGGACCAUCAAACUCCAGUCAGUAAACGAUGCAGUCUGAAAAACAUUUAAUAAACUAAAACUUUCAACAACGGAUCUCUUGGUUCUGGCAUCGAUGAAGAACGCAGCGAAAUGCGAUAAGUAAUGUGAAUUGCAGAAUUCAGUGAAUCAUCGAAUCUUUGAACGCACAUUGCGCCCUUUGGUAUUCCGAAGGGCAUGCCUGUUCGAGCGUCAUUACAACCCUCAAGCUCUGCUUGGUAUUGGGCACCGUCCUUUGCGGGCGCGCCUCAAAGACCUCGGCGGUGGCGUCUUGCCUCAAGCGUAGUAGAACAUACAUCUCGCUUCGGAGCGCAGGGCGUCGCCCGCCGGACGAACCUUCUGAACUUUCUCAAGGUUGACCUCGGAUCAGGUAGGGAUACCCGCUGAACUUAAGCAUAUCAAAAGGCGGGAGGA